ACCCUCACACACCCCCCUGCGCACGUGCCAGUCCUAAACAAAACGUACACACACACUUUUUCUGGUUUCAAAAGCACCCCAUGCAGAGACACACACACCCCUUUUUUGUUUUGUUUUGAAACACACACACACAAUUACCCUCCCUCACACGCACACACCCCCCUGCGCACGCACACGUCUUUCCGGAAUUCCUUUUUUCUCAAGCGCUGCCUGGGGAUGGCUCGAAAAUGCAUAGCCCCUAACUUUAAAGGGUUGUCACUGAACCCCAACCGCCGUCUGUGUCCAACUCCCCAGCGUCAAGACUCGGCCACUGCAUGCUGUGACAUGGGCCUGGAUGAUCACACACAUCUUCUUCAAGCUUACUGAUUGAAUACUGGGGCCUUCAGUGGUUCCGGAAGCAAGGGCCCUACCUAGGAGUACAGCAACUGUCUCUCUGUCUCACAGCCAUUCUGUCAACAUGUAUUGUUUGAAACCACUGAAAUUCAUGCAAACUAUUACAUAUGGAAAGCUGUGAAAGCCUGUUUGCAGAUGAAGAGAGUGUUCUAAUGAAUGUCCCAAGAGACUAAUGGCACAUUUUCAUAUCAGAUUUACCCGAGUGUUUUACUCAAAAGGCUCAGACUUUUCUGCUUCCAUCUACGAGGCCUGGCACCCGUUUCUUAGUGGGCCAUGGCUCCGGCAGACCUGCUCUCCCUUGGGUCCAAAGCCAGGCCACUGGUACUUUUGAGCUGGCAUUUACACAACAAUGACUAACUGUGAACUUGAACACCUUCUGACAAAGCAACUGUGUAUACAACAUUUGCUAACAUCGUGUAGGCCUACCUAUAUGUUAGCACAUGUUGUACACAAAAACAAAGUUAAACAUCACACACAAUGUCUAAACCUAUUACAAUUGGAGCAGGCCAACCAUGCUGGAGGUCUGCUGGGUGUGCAGGGUUCUCUUUCAGCCAAGCAACAACACAUCCGAUGUAACUUAUCAAACCUAAUGAGUUGAUAAUCAAGUGUGCUAUUGCUGGGCUGGAACAGAAUCUCUGCUCACCCAGUAGAUCAGGAAUCUUGCUUACCUGAAAUUAUGCUUUAGUAAUAAUAGCCUACUUGUUACUACUCGAUGAUCUACUAUUGUUUAGACAUACAAGUUAGCUUAUUUGUAAAUGUUUUGUUGAUGGUGUUGAUUCUUUGAAGUGAAGUGUUUAAACUUGUUUUAAUUGUUAAACUGUUCAAAAUGAACUAGUGCCAAUGUUGCUGCCAUAAAGAGGGGAAGGGAUUC
rnacentral:lncRNA from 1 species